UGCCUGGUGAUCUAGUGGUUAGGAUUCGGCACUCUGACCACCACUGUCCAGGUUCAAUUCCUGGUCAGGGAA
rnacentral:tRNA from 1 species